rnacentral:lncRNA from 1 species
GCCUCGCUCGGAGGGGCGGCGUGAAGCGCAUCUCGGGGCUCAUCUACGAGGAGACCCGCGGCGUCCUCAAGAUCUUCCUCGAGAACGUCAUCCGCGACGCCGUCACCUACACCGAGCACGCACGCCGCAAGACCGUCACCGCCAUGGACGUCGUCUACGCGCUCAAGCGCCAGGGCCGCACCCUCUACGGCUUCGGCGGAUAGGCCCCUCGUGGUCGUCAAUCUUCGUUGCCCCCCUGCAGAUUCCUAAAGCUCGAUGAGAACCUGACUUGUUUAGUUCGCUAUUUCCCCUGUAGUUCCAAGUGAAUCAUGAAACAAAGCUAUUCGCAUCUGGAGUUUGGAAAUUGUACUUGUCUUUGUGCAAAUAAACUGUUUGUGAUUUUGUCUCGCUGGUUAUCUCUGUCAUGUAUGAUUGUUGUUUCUUCUCUGAUGUUAAAUUUUGUGCGCUUGGGAGUAAGAUUUGUUUGCCAUCCUCUUACAAGGACCAGGAACAUCAUCUGCUCUGUAUCUGCUAUUUCUUCUGAUGCAUUUGUAUUAGGAACCAUUUAUAAUCAUUCCAUGUUGCAACGAUGUGUGUAAUUGAGAUUGGGUUUAGUCUGCAUUUCAUACAUCGAUUUCUGGAUUGAUUUGCUAUGUCAUUUACUCUGCAAAUCAUCAUGCUGUUCUUGUUAAUAAGAAAUGUCACCUGCUCUGUUUCUGUUUUUUUUUUGUUACUAUAGUAAUACUUCAUCUGAUGCAUUAUACAUUUUGGCAAUGGCUGCAACAACUUAAUCCUUCAGUUUUUUUACUAGCUUAUCAGCAUAAUUCUCCAUAUUCAUUUUGCUAAUCUCAUAUGAUGUACGACAGUAGGGAAGUUUGGUGAAUUACUUCUGACUUGAUGUGCUUACACCACUGCCUUACAUGCUUUGAGACAAAAUAACUCUGCAGUUCUUACUUGAGGCCUGCAAAAGUCUGUAUCAACAGGUUUAAAAACAGUAGAGAACAAUGACCUGUGAAUCCUUGAAUCCUAAAAAAGUGAUCUCCAGUAGCGAUGAAAAAUGAGAAUAACAGAAUGCAUUGCAUUCAAGCAAGUUUCCUGUAGACUAUCUUCAUAUCUCAAGAACAGUUUGGAUGAAGGAAUAAUAAUUUGUCAUUGGAGGACAUGCUACAGCAAGUUGAAUUGAUAUAUAAAAGAAGUCUGUUCCUUGCAGAAUAACUGAAGACAACCAUUGUCAUUUUGAUAGGCAAAAUUCCAUAGGCACAUUACAAUAUUUCAAUACAUUCUUCCUUUGACACAUUCCCAGGUUUGGACACCCUCCCACAUGAACAAUCUCAGGUCUUAGGAACACCUCUUAUGAAACCGAACACUUGAUACAAGGAGGAGAUGACACAAUAAAAACUGAAGGCAAGGUACACACACAAAUGCUGAAGUGCACAAUAAAUGACCCUCUAAUUUUGUAAAAUAAAUACAAUCAGAAUUUGACACUCCUGCUAAAAUUAUGCACAAUCAUAUUGGUGGAGAGAAGUAACAAAAAUCACUAUCAAAUAUGGGCAACAAGAAGACUGAAAUUUUAUAGGUGGAGAAAAGGAUGAAACAACAAAGGUGAGCAUUGUUCCAUGCACACCCACAUGGAUAAUAAAUUCGAAAACAAUACUAGGAAAAUUUUAGAACAUCUGAAAUUUUGAGGUAUCAAACUUGGUUGACCAUUCUACUGACAUGUAAAAUUUCGUGAAGUAUUGACACCCGUGGUACUCUUAGUGAAGAAAAUACAAUUGAGACUUUACUAUUCAUCAAAGAGUGUUUUCUAACAUAACUUCGAUCUUGUCAUUUUUGACCCAAAUACCACUAAGGUCAUCUCUUUGUGAAACUUCAUACGCAAUUAUACCGGUCGACUAUGCGUGUUAUAAAAUGUUUUCUAGUUUUUUUUGUUUUUUCUAGUUUUUUUUGUUUUUUCUAGUUUUUUCCCCAAGUUUACUAUGGCAUGGAACCAAGUUCACCAAAUCCGCGUCCAAGAAAAGGAGUAUCAAGUUCUUGGUGUUGUGUUUACUUGAUUCACAUAAUCCAGUACCAAGUAGCGUAACUGUGCUUUUCAAGGUGUACACAUCACAUCUGUUUUGAACUUUAGAUUGUUGUCAUAGAGCAAGAGGAAUUCCGAGUAGUCAGAUGAGGACUGUACUACAUUUAAUCUUGAUAGUAGGCGUUUCUCGUGCUUAUAGGCGUAACCAGUAUGAUUGCAACACUCGCGGAAGUGCACCAGUGUCCGCUUUUUUGAAGAAAACCCCAAACCGACAGCUUAGUAUUCUUCUUUAUACCUUGCAGAAGUCUAAAUUAUGUCCUUUAAUAUUGAUUCAUGUGUAAUCAGAUGUCAAGAUGUAAAUAUCAGCAGCCAAUAUUGUCCUGCAACUGGUUCUAAAAAAAAUUUGUCCUGCAACUUAAACUAAAGUGUCCAGUUCAUUUUCUUUUUUCGCAAAGCUUGUGUAUCAUUUUAUUGAUAAAAGGGUAGAAGAAAGUACAUGUUUGGUUACACCACACAGGAUGAUGGUGCCAAUUCUGGAGGCGUCGGCUCUUUCCCAACAUCGCGCGUCGUCCUGGAUAGUUUGCAACACGCGAGUGGCGGAUGGUCGAGAUUUUUUGAAGAUACAACCAUUGCGGUGGCAAAGGUGUCAGGCCAAGAGUACGAUGAUCGAGGAUAAACCUCGGCGCACGGAGGUUGGCGCUUGGGAGCAAGAAGACGCCCACAAGUCUACAAAGGGGGUCGUCAGACAUGGGGGAGAUGUCGUUGACUGACACCAAGCAAGAACUCAUGUCAGAUUUGGCGCGAGAAAGGACAUCCGACAAUGAGGUGGUACAUGGUUUCUAGCACCUGAUCGUAAAAGGAGUACAAAUGCUCGUGGGAGGCCACGCCGGGCUAAGCGGUCCGCCGUCCAGAAACAAUCGAGAAUGAAUAGUUGAUACGUUCAUUUUGCAUCAUGUUUUUAUGUUAAUAUUUAUUGCAUUAUGGGCUGAUUUUUCACUUUAUGAUACAAUUCUUAUGCCUUUUGUCUCUUAUUUUGUAAGUUUCACAUAAAGAGCGGGAUUGCCGACAGCUGGAAUUCUGGACCAAAAAGGGCUAUCGAGGCAUUUUUUCUCAACAUUUCCAAAUGAGCUGAAAAUUGACGGAGAAUUAUUUUGAAAUAUAUUAAAAUUAUUGGCGAAAGAAGUAUCAGAGGGGGACCCACAAAGCAGCCACAAGCCUGCCCUGUGGGCCCACCCCCUGAGCUUGUGGUGAGCCUGGCAGGCCUCCGAGGCCCAUCUUCACCUAUAUGAUGCCAUUUGCCCUGGAAAAAAAAAUCAGAAAAAAGGUUUCGGACGAAGCGUUGCCCUCUCGAGGCGGAACCUGGGCAGGAGCACUUUUACUCUCCGGUGGAGAGAUUCCGCCGGGGAAACUUCCCUUCAGGAGGGGGAAAUCGAAGCCAUCGUCGUCACCAAUGAUCCUCUAAUCAUGGGAGGACCAAUCUUCAUCAACAUCUUCACCAGCACCAUCUCAUCUCAAACCCUACUUCAUCUCUUGUAUUCAACCUUUGUCUCAAAAUCUUAGAUUGGCAACUGUGGGUUGCUAAUGGUGUUGAUUACAUCUUGUAGUUGAUGUUUGUUGGUUUAUUUUGUGGAAGAUCAUAUGUUCAGAUCCAUUAUGCUAUUCAAUACCCCAUGAUCUUGAACAUGAAUAUGUGUUAUGAGUAGUUACAUUUGUUCUUGAGGACAUGAGAGAAAUCUUGUCAUAAGAAAUCAUGUGAAUUUGGUAUUUGUUCGAUAUUUUGAUGAUAUGUAUGUUGUUGUUUCCCUUAGUAGUGUUAUGUGAACGUCAACUACAUGGCACUUCACCAUCUUUGGGGCCUAAGAGAAAGCAUUGCGGAGUAGUUGUUAGAUGAUGGGUUGCUAGAGUGACAGAAGGUUCAACCCUAGUUUAUGCGUUGUUACAAACGGGCCGAUUUGGAUCUAUAUGUUUCAUGCUAUGGUUAUGUAAGUGCAUCUAGUGCCCCUUAGUGAUUUUGGUGUAUUGAAGACUUAUAGGUUAAGGGACUAAUGCGUGUGUGAGUGUACACAGGUCUAUAAGUCUAUGAGGAGUUUGAUAUUUACAGAAAAAGUCGACCCCUAAAAAUGAAUAUCUUCGACUGAAGAUUUUGGUAUUUCUGAAGACUUUCAUGAAGACUUUGAAAGUGAAGAAAUUGGUGUGUCCGUGAUGACUUGAUAUUCAUGCAAGAAAUAUGAAGCUUGAAGACUUUCGUGUUCAUAGUUUUGUUUUUCUCUUUCUUGAGUCAUAGGAAACACCGUACUGUUAAAGGGGUCGAGGAAAUACUAAGGAAAAAUUUCCAUGUGAUGCUCAACUCAAAUCCUACACCUACCAAUCCCUUUGAAUGAAGCCAUUGGAAAUCUCAUACAGUUCAGUCAAUUUCUUCAGUGACAGAGACGAAGUUCUUCUGGUCUCUGAGGAAUUUGUCCUGACUGAGGAGUUAGGAAUUCGCCAGUGCGGAUUGCCUACACAGUGAGGAACAUGAUAGCCCUGAGGAUUUUGCUACUCAAAAUUCCGACCGUUGCCGUGCUAUGCGCCAGCUGUCCCAAAAUAUCUAUCCACCUAACGGUCAUAUCAUUGAAGGGCAUUUAUGUCUUAUCAUGUCGGGCUAUUCCCUAGGCUACAAAUAGCCGCCCCCUACAACCACUAGCUGGUUGGCUGCUCCGAGAGAAACUGACACUUGUCAUUUGAGAGCAACCCAUCCUCCGAGGACUUUGAGCGAAAAUCAUCAAGUGAGGAAAAACCAAAAACCCAAAAUCCAAACACCUACAAACCCCAAGUGAUUGAGCAUCACUGAAGAGAUUAAUUUUGAGUGGAUCCGGCGCUUGUUACCUUUGAAGACUAUGCUUCUUCCAGACGGUUAGGCGUCAUGGUCUAGAGCAUCCAAGAGGAAUUGUGGAUCACUGAGUGACCAAGUUUGUGAAGGUUUGGAAGUCGCCUGAAGACUUACCACGAGUGAUUGGACGAGGUCUGUGUGACCUUAGUUCAAGGAGAAUACGGUGAGGAUUGGGUGUCUUGGACGAAGUGUCUUUGACUGGGUGUCUGGGACUGUAUGUCCUCGAGUUUAAAUACUCAGCCGCUCCAACCAGACGUACAACUGAGACAACAGUUGGAACUGGUCUACCAAAUCAUUGGCUUCACCGAGUUUACUGGUUCUAUUUUCUCAACUCUUUCAUUUCCUCAUAACUGUGAUGUAUGUUUGUUCAUAUCUGUGUUUGAAGACUGUUUGUCUUCAUCCUGAGUUAUCCUGUGAUUACGCUUCCUGUACUCUGUGCCUGUCUUCAUUUCAUCAUGAUGACUAUGCUUGUAUUCUGUUGUGCUUACUUUUGAGUACUUAUUUCGCUGCUAGUAGUUCUUCGCUAAGGAAUUUCCUCACCAGCAAAUUUCUCAGUGAAGAAUUUUAUAAAAAUCGCCUAUUCACCCCCUCUAGUCGAUAUAACGCACUUUCAAUUGGUAUCAGAGCAAGGUACUCCCUUGUUCUGUGUGAUUUUGGUUUAACCGCCUGGAGUUUUAGUUAUGUCGACCGCAGGUAUGAUGAAGGUGACAUGCCCCAUAUUUGACGGUCACGAGUAUCCCAAGUGGAAGGCCAUGAUGAAAAAACGCCCCAUGGCGAUGAACAGCGAGUUGUGGACCGUCACUGAGAUUGGCUUGACUGAUCUGUGCAAGAUGGCGGAUGCUGAUGACAUUCGCAAGUAUACUCUUCUCAACCUCACGGCGAAGGAUGUCAUCUGCUCCAGCCUGUCACAAAAUCAGUUCAGGAAUAUCAUGCAUCUCAUGUUGGGGAACGUAGUAAUUUCAAAAAAAUUCCUACGCACACGCAAGAUCAUGGUGAUGAUAUAGCAACGAGGGGAGAGUGUUGUCUACGUACCCUCGUAGACCGAAGCGGAAGCGUUGACGCAACGUAGAGGAAGUAGUCGUACGUCCUCCGGUUCAACCGAUCCAAGUACCGUUACUCCGGCACCUCCGAGUUCUUGACACGCGUACAGCUCGAUGACGCACCCUCGAUCUCCGAUCCAGCAGAGGCGCCGAGGGGGAGUUCCGUCAGCACGACGGCGUGGUGACGAUCUUGAUGUUCUCCUGUUGCAGGGCUUCGCCUAAGCACCGCUACAAUAUGACCGAGGUGUAAUAUCGUGGAGGGGGGCACCGCACACGGCUAAGGAACGAUCAAUGAUCAACUUGUGUGUCCUAGGGUGCCCCCUUACCCCCAUAUAUAAAGGAGGGAGGGAGGAGGUGGCCGGCCCUAGGGGGGCGCGCCAUGAGGAGGGGGAAACCUACUCCAAGUAGGUUUCCCUCUCUUUUCCUUAUCUUAUUUGGAGGGGGAAGGAAAGAGUACUAGUAUUAGGAAGUAGUACUAGUAGUAGUAAUAGGAAGAGGGGGAAGGAGAAAGGAAAGGGGGGGCUGGCCCCCCUCCCCAAUUCAGAUUGGGCUUGGGGGGGCGCGCCCCCCUCCCUUGCUCCUUCUCUCUUCCUCCUACAUGGGCCCAAUAAGGCCCAUAUACCUCCCGAGGUGUUCCGGUAACCUCUCGGGGCUCCAAACUUCUCCGGAACCUUUCCGGUGUCCAAAUAUAUCCGUCCAAUAUAUCAAUCUUUUAUGUCUCGACCAUUUCGAGACUCCUCGUCAUGUCCGUAAUCAUAUCCGGGACUCUGAACAACCUUCGGUACAUCAAAAUACAUAAACUCAUAAUAUAACUGUCAUCGAAACCUUAAGCGUGCGGACCCUACGGUUCAAGAACGAUGUAGACAUGACUGAGACACAUCUCUGGUCAAUAACCAAUAGCGGGACCUGGAUGCCCAUAUUGGUUCCUACAUAUUCUACGAAGAUCUUUAUCGGUCAAACCGCAUAACAACAUACGUUGUUCCCUUUGUCAUCGGUAUGUUACUUGUCCGAGAUUCGAUCGUCGGUAUCCAAUACCUAGUUCAAUCUCGUUAUCGACAAGUCUCUUUACUCGUUCUGUAAUACUUCAUCUUAUAACUAACUCAUUAGUUACAUGCUUGCAAGGCUUAGGUGAUGAGCAUUGCCGAGAGGGCCCAGAGAUACCUCUCCGACAAUCGGAGUGACAAAACCUAAUCUCGAAUUAUGCUAACUCAACAUGUACCUUCGGAGACACCUGUAGUACUCCUUUAUAAUCACCCAGUUAUGUUGUGACGUUUGGUAGUACCCAAAGUGUUCCUUCGGUAAACGGGAGUUACACAAUUCUCAUAGUUACAGGAACAUGUAUAAGUCAUGAAGGAAGCAAUAGCAGAAUACUAAACGAUCAAGUGCUAAGCUAACGGGAUGGGUCAUGUCAAUCACCUCAUUCUCCUAAUGAUGUGAUCCCAUUAAUCAAAUGACAACACAUGUCAAUGGUUAGGAAACAUAACCAUCUUUGAUUAAUGAGCUAGUCAAGUAGAGGCAUACUAGUGACUAUAUGUUUGUCUAUGUAUUCACACAUGUAUCAUGUUUCUGGUUAAUACAAUUCUAGCAUGAAUAAUAAACAUUUAUCAUGAUAUGAGGAAAUAAAUAAUAACUUUAUUAUUGCCUCUAGGGCAUAUUUCCUUCAGUCUCCCACUUGCACUAGAGUCAAUAAUCUAGAUUACAUAGUAAUGAUUCUAACACCCAUGGAGUCUUGGUGCUGAUCAUGUUUUGCUCGUGAGAGAGGCUUAGUCAACAGGUCUGCAACAUUCAGAUCCGUAUGUAUCUUGCAAAUCUCUAUGUCUCCCACUUGGACUUGGUCCCGAAUGGAAUUGAAGCGUCUCUUGAUGUGCUUGGUCCUCUUGUGAAAUCUGGAUUCCUUUGCCAAGGCAAUUGCACCAGUAUUGUCACAGAAGAUCUUCAUUGGUCCCGAUGCACUAGGUAUGACACCUAGAUCGGAAAUGAACUCCUUCAUCCAGACUCCUUCAUUUGCUGCUUCAGAAGCAGCUAUGUACUCCGCUUCACAUGUAGAUCCCGCCACGACGCUUUGUUUAGAACUGCACCAACUUACAGCUCCACCGUUUAAUAAAAACACGUAUCCGGUCUGCGAUUUAGAAUCGUCCGGAUCAGUGUCAAAGCUUGCAUCGACGUAACCAUUUACGACUAGCUCUUUGUCACCUCCAUAUACGAGAAACAUAUCCUUAGUCCUUUUCUGGUAUUUCAGGAUGUUCUUGACCGUUGUCCAGUGAUCCACUCCUGGAUUACUUUGGUACCUACCUGCCAAGCUUAUUGCUAAGCAUACGUCAGGUCUGGUACACAACAUUGCAUACAUGAUAGAGCCUAUGGCUGAAGCAUAGGGAACAUCUUUCAUUUUCUCUCUAUCUUCUGCUGUGGUCGGGCAUUGAGUUUGACUCAACUUUACACCUUGUAGCACAGGCAAGAAUCCUUUCUUUGCCUGAUCCAUUUUGAACUUUUUCAAAAUUUUGUCAAGGUAUGUACUUUGUGAAAGUCCUAUUAAGCGUCUUGAUCUAUCUCUAUAGAUCUUGAUGCCCAAUAUGUAAGCAGCUUCACCGAGGUCUUUCAUAGAAAAACUUUUAUUCAAGUAUCCCUUUAUGCUAUCCAGAAAUUCUAUAUCAUUUCCAAUUAAUAAUAUGUCAUCAACAUAUAAAACUAGAAAUGCUACAGAGCUCCCACUCACUUUCUUGUAAAUACAGGCUUCUCCAAAAGUCUGUAUAAAACCAUAUGCUUUGAUCACACUAUCAAAACAUUUAUUCCAACUCCGAGAUGCUUGCACCAGUCCAUAAAUGGAACGUUGGAGCUUGCACACUUUGUCAGCACUUUUUGGAUCAACAAAACCUUCAGGUUGCAUCAUAUACAACUCUUCUUCUAGAAAUCCAUUCAAGAAUGCAGUCUUGACAUCCAUUUGCCAAAUUUCAUAAUCAUGAAAUGCAGCAAUAGCCAACAUGAUUCGGACAGACUUAAGCAUCGCUACGGGUGAGAAAGUCUCAUCGUAGUCAACCCCUUGAACUUGUCGAAAACCUUUUGCAACAAGUCGAGCUUUGUAGAUAGUAACAUUACCAUCAGCGUCAGUCUUCUUCUUAAAGAUCCAUUUAUUCUCAAUGGCUUGCCGAUCAUCGGGCAAGUCAACCAAAGUCCACACUUUGUUUUCAUACAUGGAUCCUAUCUCAGAUUUCAUGGCCUCUAGCCAUUUUGCGGAAUCUGGGCUCAUCAUCGCUUCCUCAUAGUUCGUAGGUUCAUCAUGGUCUAGUAACAUGACUUCCAGAAUAGGAUUUUCGUACCACUCUGGUGCGGAUCUUACUCUGGUAGACCUACGAGGUUCAGUAGAAACUUGAUCUGAAGUUUCAUGAUCAAUAUCAUUAGCUUCCUCACUAAUUUGUGUAGUUGUCACAGGAACCGGUUCUUGUGAUGAACUACUUUCCAAUAAGGGAGUAGAUACAAUUAUCUCAUCAAGUUCUACUUUCCUCCCACUCACUUCUUUCGAGAGAAACUCCUUCUCUAGAAAGGAUCCGAUUUUAGCAAUGAAAAUCUUGCCUUCAGAUCUGUGAUAGAAGGUGUACCCAAUUGUCUCCUUUGGGUAUCCUAUGAAGACACAUUUCGCCGAUUUGGGUUCGAGCUUAUCUGGUUGAAGUUUCUUCACAUAAGCAUCGCAGCCCCAAACUUUGAGAAAUGACAACUUUGGUUUCUUGCCAAACCACAGUUCAUAAGGCGUCGUCUCAACGGAUUUUGAUGGUGCCCUAUUUAACGUGAAUGUGGCCGUCUCUAAAGCAUAACCCCAAAACUAUAGCGGUAAAUCGGUAAGAGACAUCAUAGAUCGCACCAUAUCAAGUAAAGUACGAUUACGACGUUCGGACACACCAUUUCGCUGUGGUGUUCCAGGUGGCGUGAGUUGCGAAACUAUUCCACAUUGUUUCAAAUGUAAACCAAACUCGUAACUCAAAUAUUCUCCUCCACGAUCAGAUCGUAGAAACUUUAUUUUCUUGUUACGAUGAUUUUCUACUUCACUCUGAAAUUCUUUGAACUUUUCAAAUGUUUCAGACUUGUGCUUCAUCAAGUAGAUAUACCCAUAUCUGCUCAAAUCAUCUGUGAAGGUGAGGAAAUAACGAUAUCCGCCAUGAGCCUCAACAUUCAUCGGACCACAUACAUCUGUAUGUAUGAUUUCCAACAAAUCUGUUGCUCUCUCCAUAGAUCCGGAGAACGGUGUUUUGGUCAUCUUGCCCAUGAGGCACGGUUCGCAAGUACCAAGUGAUUCAUAAUCAAGUGAUUCCAGAAGUCCAUCAGUAUGGAGUUUCUUCAUGCGUUUUACACCGAUAUGACCUAAACGGCAGUGCCACAAAUAUGUUGCACUAUCAUUAUCAACUCUGCAUCUUUUGGCUUCAACGUUAUGAAUAUGUGUAUCACUACUAUCGAGAUUUAAUAAAAAUAGACCAUUCUUCAAGGGUGCAUGACCAUAAAAGAUAUUACUCAUGUAAAUAGAACAACCAUUAUUCUCUGAUUUAAAUGAAUAACCAUCUCGCAUCAAACAAGAUCCAGAUAUAAUGUUCAUGCUCAACGCAGGCACCAAAUAACAAUUAUUCAAGUCUAAAACUAAUCCCGAUGGUAGAUGUAGAGGUAGCGUGCCGACCGCGAUCACAUCGACUUUGGAACCAUUUCCCACGCGCAUCGUCACCUCGUUCUUAGCUAAUCUUCGCUUAAUCCGUAGUCCCUGUUUUGAGUUGCAAAUGUUAGCAACAGAACCAGUAUCAAAUACCCAGGUGCUACUGCGAGCAUUAGUAAGGUACACAUCAAUAACAUGUAUAUCACAUAUACCUUUGUUCACUUUGCCAUCCUUCUUAUCCGCCAAAUACUUGGGGCAGUUCCGCUUCCAGUGUCCAGUCUGCUUGCAGUAGAAGCACUCAGUUUCAGGCUUAGGUCUAGACUUGGGUUUCUUCACUUGAGCAGCAACUUGUUUGCCGUUCCUUUUGAAGUUCCCCUUCUUCUUCCCUUUGCCCCUUUUCUUGAAACCAGUGGUCUUGUUGACCAUCAACACUUGAUGCUCCUUUUUGAUUUCUACCUCCGCGGCUUUCAGCAUCGCGAAUAGCUCGGGAAUAGUCUUGUUCAUCCCUUGCAUAUUAUAGUUCAUCACAAAGCUCUUGUAGCUUGGUGGCAGUGAUUGGAGAAUUCUGUCAAUGACGCUAUCAUCCGGAAGAUUAACUCCCAGUUGAAUCAAGUGAUUAUUAUACCCAGACAUUUUGAGUAUAUGCUCACUGACAGAACUGUUCUCCUCCAUCUUGCAGCUGUAGAACUUAUUGGAGACUUCAUAUCUCUCAAUCCGGGCAUUUGCUUGAAAUAUUAACUUCAACUCCUGGAACAUCUCAUAUGCCCCAUGACGUUCAAAACAUCGUUGAAGACCCGGUUCUAAGCCGUAAAGCAUGGCACACUGAACUAUAGAGUAGUCAUCACCUUUGCUCUGCCAGACGUUCUUAACGUCGUCAGUUGCAUCAGCAGCAGGCCUGGCACCCAGCGGUGCUUCCAGGACGUAACUCUUCUGUGCAGUAAUGAUGAUAAUCCUCAGGUUACGGACCCAGUCCGUGUAAUUGCUACCAUCAUCUUUCAACUUUGCUUUCUCAAGGAACGCAUUAAAAUUCAACGGAACAAUAGCACGAGCCAUCUAUCUACAUACAAACAUAGACAAGCAAAAUACUAUCAGGUACUAAGUUCAUGAUAAAUUUAAGUUCAAUUAAUCAUAUUACUAAAGAACUCCCACUUAGACAGACAUCUCUCUACUCAUCUAAGUGAUUACGUGAUCCAAAUCAACUAAACCAUGUCCGAUCAUCACGUGAGAUGGAGUAGUUUCAAUGGUGAACAUCUCUAUGUUGAUCAUAUCUACUAUAUGAUUCACGCUCGACCUUUCGGUCCCCGUGUUCCGAGGCCAUAUCUGUAUAUGCUAGGCUCGUCAAGUAUAACCUGAGUAUUCCGCGUGUGCAACUGUUUUGCACCCGUUGUAUUUGAACGUAGAGCCUAUCACACCCGAUCAUCACGUGGUGUCUCAGCACGAAGAACUUUUGCAACGGUGCAUACUCAGGGAGAACACUUCUUGAUAAUUAGUGAGAGAUCAUCUUAAAAUGCUACCGUCAAACAAAGCAAGAUAAGAUGCAUAAAGGAUAAACAUCACAUGCAAUCAAUAUAAGUGAUAUGAUAUGGCCAUCAUCAUCUUGUGCUUGUGAUCUCCAUCUUCGAAGCACCGUCGUGAUCACCAUCGUCACCGGUGCGACACCUUGAUCUCCAUCGUAGCAUCGUUGUUGUUACGCCAUCUAUUGCUUCUACGACUAUCGCUACCACUUAGUGAUAAAGUAAAGCAAUUACAGGGCGUUUGCAUUUCAUACAAUAAAGCGACAACCAUAUGGCUCCUGCCAGUUGCCGAUAACUUCGGUUACAAAACAUGAUCAUCUCAUACAAUAAAAUAUAGCAUCAUGUCUUGGCCAUAUCACAUCACAACAUGCCCUGCAAAAACAAGUUAGACGUCCUCUACUUUGUUGUUGCAAAUUUUACGUGGCUGCUACGGGCUUAAGCAAGAACCAAUCUCACCUACGCAUCAAAACCACAACGAUAGUUUGUCAAAUAGACUCCGUUUUAACCUUCACAAGGACCGGGCGUAGCCACACUCGGUUCAACUAAAGUGAGAGAGACAGACACCCGCCAGCCACCUUUAAGCACGAGUGCUCGUAACGGUGAAACCAGUCUCGCGUAAGCGUACGCGUAAUGUCGGUCCGGGCCGCUUCAUCUCACAAUACCGCUGAACCAAAGUAUGACAUGCUGGUAGGCAGUAUGACUUAUAUCGUCCACAACUCACUUGUGUUCUACUCGUGCAUAUAAUAUCAACACAUAAAACCUAGGCUCGGAUGCCACUGUUGGGGAACGUAGUAAUUUCAAAAAAUUUCCUACGCACACGCAAGAUCAUGGUGAUGAUAUAGCAACGAGGGGAGAGUGUUGUCUACGUACCCUCGUAGACCGAAGCGGAAGCGUUGACGCAACGUAGAGGAAGUAGUCGUACGUCCUCCGGUUCAACCAAUCCAAGUACCGUUACUCCGGCACCUCCGAGUUCUUGACACGCGUACAGCUCGAUGACGCACCCUCGAUCUCCGAUCCAGCAGAGGCGCCGAGGGGGAGUUCCGUCAGCACGACGGCGUGGUGAUGAUCUUGAUGUUCUCCUGUUGCAGGGCUUCGCCUAAGCACCGCUACAAUAUGACCGAGGUGUAAUAUCGUGGAGGGGGGCACCGCACACGGCUAAGGAACGAUCAAUGAUCAACUUGUGUGUCCUAGGGUGCCCCCUUACCCCCGUAUAUAAAGGAGGGAGGGAGGAGGUGGCCGGCCCUAGGGGGGGCGCGCCAUGAGGAGGGGGAAACCUACUCCAAGUAGGUUUCCCUCUCUUUUCCUUAUCUUAUUUGGAGGGGGAAGGAAAGAGUACUAGUAUUAGGAAGUAGUACUAGUAGUAGUAAUAGGAAGAGGGGGAAGGAGAAAGGAAAGGGGGGGCCGGCCCCCCUCCCCAAUUCGGAUUGGGCUUGGGGGGGCGCGCCCCCCUCCCUUGCUCCUUCUCUCUUCCUCCUACAUUGGCCCAAUAAGGCCCAUAUACCUCCCGGGGGGUUCCGGUAACCUCCCGGGGCUCCAAACUUCUCCGGAACCUUUCCGGUGUCCAAAUAUAUCCGUCCAAUAUAUCAAUCUUUUAUGUCUCGACCAUUUCGAGACUCCUCGUCAUGUCCGUAAUCAUAUCCGGGACUCCGAACAACCUUCGGUACAUCAAAAUACAUAAACUCAUAAUAUAACUGUCAUCGAAACCUUAAGCGUGCGGACCCUACGGUUCGAGAACGAUGUAGACAUGACUGAGACACAUCUCUGGUCAAUAACCAAUAGCAGGACCUGGAUGCCCAUAUUGGUUCCUACAUAUUCUACGAAGAUCUUUAUCGGUCAAACCGCAUAACAACAUACGUUGUUCCCUUUGUCAUCGGUAUGUUACUUGUCCGAGAUUCGAUCGUCGGUAUCCAAUACCUAGUUCAAUCUCGUUAUCGACAAGUCUCUUUACUCGUUCUGUAAUACUUCAUCUUAUAACUAACUCAUUAGUUACAUGCUUGCAAGGCUUAGGUGACGAGCAUUGCCGAGAGGGCCCAGAGAUACCUCUCCGACAAUCGGAGUGACAAAACCUAAUCUCGAAUUAUGCUAACUCAACAUGUACCUUCGGAGACACCUGUAGUACUCCUUUAUAAUCACCCAGUUACGUUGUGACGUUUGGUAGUACCCAAGGUGUUCCUCCGGUAAACGGGAGUUACACAAUUCUCAUAGUUACAGGAACAUGUAUAAGUCAUGAAGGAAGCAAUAGCAGAAUACUAAACGAUCAAGUGCUAAGCUAACGGGAUGGGUCAUGUCAAUCACCUCAUUCUCCUAAUGAUGUGACCCCAUUAAUCAAAUGACAACACAUGUCAAUGGUUAGGAAACAUAACCAUCUUUGAUUAAUGAGCUAGUCAAGUAGAGGCAUACUAGUGACUAUAUGUUUGUCUAUGUAUUCACACAUGUAUCAUGUUUCCGGUUAAUACAAUUCUAGCAUGAAUAAUAAACAUUUAUCAUGAUAUGAGGAAAUAAAUAAUAACUUUAUUAUUGCCUCUAGGGCAUAUUUCCUUCAUCUCGAUCAUGCGAAGCUCAUCUUGGACCAUCUCUCUGAGGUCUAUGAAGGUCAUCGAACUUGUCAUGAUCCUUGGUUUGAGGACUUCAAGGAAUCUCUCAAAAUGAUGACAUUCGAACCAGAAUCAUCAUCUUCUACGUCAUGCCUUAUGGCAAAAGAUGCUGAGGUCACUGAAUGCUACCUAUCGUAGUCCAGUGAUGAUGAAUCUGGUGAUGAAUUUGGACCCAGCUAUGUUAAACUUGCUUCCCUUGCUACUAAACAACAAAAAGCUUUGGAAAAAGCUCACUAUAUGCUAAACAAGAGCGAUGAUAUGUUGGGUGAGGAAAUGGAUCAGUCAAAAGCUUUGGCUGAAAGUCUUCAGAGACUUCAUACUAAGUAUGACACCCUUCAAGAUCAACAUAACACUCUCUUAUCGGAUCAUGAGAAGCUUUCUUAUGAAUUUCUUCAAAGAAAGCAAGACCUUGAGAAGCUAAGAGUGAGUUAUGAAGAUCUUUAGAAGGAGCGCGAUUCAUUACUUGCUCAACAAAUCAGCGCAUCUCAGGAAGAAUUUGUUCCUCCAUGCUUGAAGUGCAUUGAACGUGAAUCUGCUAAUUCUUCACCUGAAUGUUCAAAUGCUGCUAAUGUUUCAAAUUCUUCACAUGCCUCUCCAUCACUAAUUCCUCAUCUGAGGACAUUGCUAGUAUCACUGACAAUGCAGGGCUGAAGGAAUUGUACACGACAGGCAUGUACAAAAUCCUCAAAGGGCAUCAGGCUCUUUGUGGUGUGCUUAAAAAGUAGAUCCUCAACAGGAACCCUAGGAAAGAGGGUAUCGCCUUUGAGAGGAAACUCAAUGCUGAUGGUACAUAUUGGAAGCCUGAGCAGUACCCCAAAACUACAUGGGUUGCUGCAAAGGGACCUCCAGUUGAUCCAUCUAACUUAUCUGGAUUUGCAUGUGAAUCUCCUCAUUCUAAUGAUGAGUCAAUUGGCUCCAACUAUAAGCUAUUCAAAAAUCAGAAUGGUGAAGUAUUUGCUAGAUAUGUUGGCACUAACUGCAGGAACAACUCCCAUAUGCAGAAAAUCUGGGUUCCCAAAAGAUGCCAUGAAAAUCUUCAGGUGAAUGUCAUCAUGACGCCACCUGUGAAGAAUAGGAACCCCAGAUCAAAUUCCUCAUACGGACCAAAUUCCUCAUAUGGAUCAAAGUCCUCAUAUGAACAUCAUCAUGCUAACCCGUUUGUUUUGCAAGGAAGAUCUAAAGAUUAUGGAUAUGUGCAUUAUUCUUCAAAUCAUUAUGUCCAUAAGUCCUCGAAGAAUUUCUCUGCUUACUCAUAUGCUUACUCUAACCCAUCUUAUGUGAAACGAAAUGGAUUGGCUUCUAUGCCAUCCUUCUCGUAUGGAUCUCGCAGAAUGAUGAACUCUUUGCCACCCCUUCAGAUGUGGGUGGUGAAGAAAAACAACUAAUCUCUUUUGCAGGGUCAGGUCUCCAGAUGCACGUAAUCAUCUGAAGAAUUUGCUAGAGACCUGAGCAUGCCUGAUAGGACGCGGGCUAAUCAUGAAGAAAUGAACUUUCUUUUCUCACGUCCUCAUAUUGCUUUAUCAGUUCUUUUACUUGAUGAAAUUGAUCUGAUGAAUUGAUGUCAUAUUCUUCACUGAUGAAGUAUAUGAGUUUGUAAGCUGCACUAAUUCAUCUGCAGGAUGAUCAACCCAAAGUCAUUGAGUGGGUCCUUGAUAGUGGAUGUACAAACCACAUGACUGGUGACAAGAAUAUAUUGGUGGAUGCUCCAUUAUCUCCGUCGCAUCUGAAGCAUAUCAUCUUUGCUGACAAAGGCAACAGUCAGGUAUUGGGUCUAGGUAAGGUUGCGAUUACAAAGGAUCGACACAUGGACAAAGUCAUGCUUGUUGAGUCCUUAUGAUACAAUCUUAUGUCUGUCUCAAUGCUUUGUGAUCUUGAUAUGGUUGUUGUCUUCGGCAAGUACCGUUGUGUUGUGGUUAUGGAAGCUGACAAUUCCAAAGUCUUCAAAGGCUUUAGGAGAGGAGACCUGUAUAUUGUUGAUUUCUCUACAGGACCACAAUCAGCCAUGUGCUUACUUGCAAAAGCUUCAGAAGGCUGGCUCUGGCAUUGACGACUUGGUCAUGCAGGCAUGAGGCAUUUGCACACGCUUGCGAAGAAGAAGCAUGUCAUUGGCAUCGAGAAUGUCAAAUUCCUUAAGGAUCACCUAUGCGGAGCCUGUGAAGCUGGGAAGAUGACCAAGGCCAAGCAUCCAGUGAAGACUAUCAUGACCACCACUCGCCCAUUUGAAUUGCUUCACAUGGAUCUCUUUGGUCCUAAUCAUUAUUCUGCUAUCUCAAAUGAAGCAUCUCAAUAUGGCUUCAUUAUUGUUGAUGAUUAUUCUCGUUACACAUGGGUACACCUUGUUACUUACAAACAUGAAGUGCAGGAAGUCUUCAAAUGAUUUUCCUCGAGGGCUUCAACCAAUUUUGGUGUGAAGAUCAAGCACAUCAAAAGUGGCAAUGGCACUGAGUUCAAGAAUUCUGGUCUCGAUGACUAUCUUGAUGAACUUGGUAUCACUCAUGAGUUAUCUGCUCCUUACACUCCUCAGCAGAAUGGCGUCGUGGAGCGCAAGAACAGGACUCUUGCUGAGAUGGCUUGCACUAUGCUUGAUGAAUACAAAAUGCCUCGUCGUUUCUGGACUGAGGCAAUUGAUACUGCGUGCACAUCAUCAACAGAGUAUAUCUUCACAAAUUUUUCAAAAAGACUGCCUAUGAACUCCUCACUGAUAAGAAACCCAACGUAAGUUAUUUUAAAGUCUUCGGUGCUAAAUGUUGGAUUAGAGAUCCUCAUCACAACUCAAAAUUUUCACCGAAAGCACAUGAAGGUUUUAUGCUUGGUUACGGAAAGGACUCGCACACCUACAGAGUCUUCAACAAUGUUCUUCACAAAGUUGUUGAAACUGUAGAUGUGCGGUUUGAUGAAACUAAUGGCUCGCAAAGAGAGCACCUACCUACUGUGAUAGAUGAACCAGCACCUGAGGAAACUAUCAAGUUCAAGGCUACUGAGGAUGUCAUUCCUACUAAAGAAUCUGCCGAAGAAUUCAUUCCAGAACAUGAAGAACGUCGAGCUAAUGCACCUGAAGAAAAUGCUGAAGAAAAUGAUGCUGAAGAAAACGCUGAUCAAACUCUUCAACGACAACCAGCUCAUCCUCGCACUGCAAAAGAAGUGCAAGUUGAAAAGAUCAUCAAUGACAUCAAAGCGCCAGGUCCUCUCACAUGCUCAAAAGCUUCACAUUUGUCUAACUUUUAUGGGCAGUAUGCUUUUGUCUCUAUUACAGAGCCUACUAAGGUAGAUGAAGCAUUUCUGGAGCCUGAGUGGAUUCAGGCCAUGCAAGAAGAAUUACAUCAGUUCGAGCUUAACAAUGUCUGGGAACUGGUCAAACGUCCAGAUCCUCGCAAACACAAUAUCAUCGGCACAAAGUGGAUCUACCACAACAAGCAAGAUGAAAAUGGCCUUGUGGUGAGGAAUAAGGCACGGCUUGUAGCUCAAGGCUACACACAGGUUGAAGGAAUUGAUUGCGAUGAAACUUUUGCACCUAUUGCUAGACUUGAGGCUGUUCGCAUAUUACUUGCUUAUGCUAACCAUCAUGAUAUCACUCUAUAUCAAAUGGAUGUGAAAAGUGCAUUCCUCAAUGGUAAGCUUGAGGAAGAAGUAUAUGUUGCUCAACCCCCAGGUUUUGAAGAUCCAAAGAAUCCUGACAAAGUCUUCAGACUCAACAAGGCCCUCUAUGGCCUCAAGCAGGCCCCACGGGCUUGGUAUGAUACUUUGAAGGAACUCUUCAUGAAGAAAGGCUUCAAACCCGGUUCACUCGAUCCUACUCUUUUCACUAAAUCUUAUGAUGGUGAAUUGUUUGUGUGCCAAGUAUAUGUUGAUGAUAUUAUCUUUGGUUGUACUGACCAACGUUAUAUUGAUGAAUUUGCCUAUAUGAUGAGUGAAGAAUAUCAAAUGUCUAGGAUGGGAGAGUUGAAAUUCUUCUUAGGUCUUCAAAUUCGUCAACAACACAAUGGCAUAUUCAUAUCUUAGAAGAAAUACCUCAAGGAUGUACUGAGGAAAUUCGGCAUGCAAGAUUGCAAAGGCGUCAAAAUUCCUAUGCCCACAAAUGGCCAUCUGUGCACUGAUGAAAAUGGUAUUGACUUCGAUCAUAAGGUAUACCGCUCCAUGAUAGGUUCCUUAUUAUAUUUAUGUUCAUCUAGGCCAGAUAUAAUGCUUAGUAUUUGCAUGUGUGCCCGAUUUCAAACUGCACCGAAGGAAUCACACCAUAAGGUUGUGAAGCAUAUUCUUCGAUAUCUAGCUCACACACCAACACUUGGAUUAUGGUACCUCAAGGGCUUGGCUUUUGAUCUUGUUGGAUAUUCUGACUCUGACUAUGCUGGUGAUCGUGUGGAUCGCAAGUCAACAUCUGGUACAUGUCAUUUCCUCGGACGAUCUUUGGUCUGUUGGUCCUCGAAGAAACAGAACUGCGUAUCACUAUCUACUACUGAAGCUGGGUACAUUGCCGCUGGUUCUUGCUGUGCCCAAUUGCUAUGGAUGAAGCAAACUCUCAAGGACUACGGCGUUAACAUGAAGAAUGUGUCUCUCUUCUGUGACAAUGAGAGUGCCAUCAAGAUUGCUCACAACCCAGUUCAGCACUCAAAGACAAGGCACAUUCAGAUUCGUCAUCAUUUUCUUAGUGAUCAUGUGUUGAAGGGCGACAUUUCUAUUGAGCAUGUGAAGACUGAAGAACAGCUAGCCGAUAUCUUCACAAAGCCCUUGGAUGAGAAGAGAUUUAGCAAGUUGUGGUGUGAGCUAAAUAUCUUAGAGUCUUCGAAUGUUCUUUGAAAAGGACACUCAUCCUAACACUUAUGCAAAAUUGAUGACUUAGAUGUACAACACAUGAAGAAACGUUUUUCUUCAAUCAAUGAAGAAUAACACUCUUAGUGUAAAGAAAUUAACGAAGAAUUUGAUUCUCAGAACCCUAUGAUAAUUGUACGCGGUGUCUGAAAUCAUCAUUCUUAUACGGUGGGUCAUGCCACCACCACCAAAAGUUGAAAUUCCUCAAAUUAUUUAUAUUCUUCAACUUUGCAUAGUCUUUACUGGUUCCGUCAUUUUUCUUCAUUGGCUAUAUAUAUAUAUAUAUAUAUAUAUAUAUAUAUAUAUAUAUGAGUUUAUGUCCUCUACAGUAUUCACUUAUUGCUAUUUUUUCAAGUUGGUUUUCUGCUAAGUGAAUGUGAUCGGACCCUUCCCCUCUAUGCUAUACUCAACCCAAUCUAUUCACAAAUUCUUCAUGUGUGUUCUAUUUGAAACUCGUUCAAAAUCUUCACUGUGUCCUUAUCAGCUGAAGAAAUUGCGAACGGAACUUCAAAACCUAUCUUAUCGAAAUUUUCGGUUUUGCCGCUCAAACCGUUCCGCAUCCCUCGAUACACUUAUCCACUCACCCACGAUCUAACACGAUCUCCACCUCUUACUACGUGGGUGACACAUGUCAUGCGAAUGAGAAGGGUCAGGGGCACGUUCGUCCAAUUUCUCCUUCCCUUCCUCACUUCUUUUACUCCGCUCGACCUCUCUCUUCUGCUCGAGCUUCUCAAACCCUAGCGUCGCCGCUACUUCAUCACCGCCGGUGAGGAAGAGUUUCACUGCCUCGACCUCGUCGCCGACGUACUCGCGUCGACCGCGGACAUCUUCACUCCGCCGCCGCCGUAGCCGUCUUCCUCCGCCAAGUUAGGGCGUGAAAGAUCUGCACAUCUCCUCACUCCAGUUCGUCGUGUUCUUCAUCCAGGGUAAUUAAAAGUUACUUUUACUGCCCUCGUUGAUUCGAAUGAUUAUCUACAAAAUCUUCAAAAGUGUUUUUCUUCAUAUCUUCACACACUGAACACCUCACAAAGUCAUCUGUUCUUGAUUCGUUUCUCUAAGCAUCAUUUUUCUUCAAGAUUCCUCAAUUGUGUGGAUCUUUGAUCUAUACAACUCUGGAACCUAAGACAAAGAACGCUUAGUGAAAAUCUUCAAGACUCAUCUGGUCAAUUUCCUCAAACCUGUUCAUUUUGAAAAACCUUCUGAGAACGCAUAUGACCUCUCCAAAUUCCUCGCAACUAUACUCUAUUCACAGGUACACAUGUCAGCUGCUGAAUCACUAGGUUCUCAUCAACUUAACUCAUUUGCAGCGUUCCUCGAAGAAAAGUUGCAUACUUCUUCAGAGAAUUCGAUUGUUCAAAUUCCUCAACUGAAGAAAAUGGCUGAUGGUAAAAGGCCACAGAAGGGAGGAAAGAGGCCUGAGGUAAAUACAGCGUUUGAGAUCCCUGAUGACAUAUAUGCUGGGUACUGCACACCUACUGAGAAAACCAAAAAUGAGCGCAAAGUGCGCAUUCAGAAGAUAGAGAGGAGAUGGGCAAGAGAAUGGAGGGAGUACAGAUAUGUCACUCCUAAGUAUAUGAAGAAAUUCGCACUCAAUCCUCCAUGCCCAAGAGAUCCAUUGGAACCUGGCCAAAUUGCUGAUCCCACCAGCCUCAAGCGAGGUGAGGACUAUCCUAAUGAAUGGGCCAAGCGCCAAGCCAAGCUGGCUAAGCAAGCCGGAGAAGCAGUGAGGAAAUUUAAUGAAGACUCUGCUGCUGCCUCUGCUGAGGCCUUUGCUGUCAAGCCAAAGAAGGCUAUGUCAAAGAAGCCUGCGCGCAAGCCAAGUGCUUCACCAACAAUGCCCUCAAGGUCAAGUUCCUCAGCAAUGCCCUCACGGCCAGAAUCAUCAAAGCCCUCAUGGCCAAUUCCUCAUGCUGCUCCCGUUCCUCCAAAGUCCUCAGCUCCUCCGCCGAAGCCUUCAGCUGUUCCGACCAAAUCCUCAGCACCUGUGCAUCUCGCUUCGUGCCAAAGGACUGCCGGCAUCUCCAUUGCCUCAGGUGUCUCAGCUAGUUCCUCAGCUGCACCAAGUUUCUCAGCUGGCCCCUCACUGCUGAAGACAAAGGCCACUGCUGGACGAGGUCCUCGCCCAAGUCCUCAAAAGAAGCAAGUCGCUUUCCAAGUGCCGUCUGAUGAAGACGAAGCUGAUGAUGAUGAACUUGCAGAAAUCAUCAGAGACAGGCAAGUCAGGGCCGCUAGAGCCAAAGGAUCAGAAGUGCCACUGCUUUUGGAUUCCAAGCUGAUCCUUGAGUACAUUGAUGAUUGGCACAAGGACCCCAACACUCACUUGCCUGACUUCAAGCUGACUCCUGGCCAGAGUCACAUGCCGACCCACUUCAUUCAAGAAGAAAAGUGGAAAAUUUGAGAAGGCUAGGCAGAUCAAGAAAGCGCAGUACAAGAAAGAGUGCUAUCUGAAGAAAAAUGUUGUCUCUAUGACAACUGAAGAACUUAUCACAAUUUAGACUGAGAUUAAGAAACUCAGUGAUAACUUUGACGCAUAUCGCUCUGAUUGGCUUGGAGCCAAGGUUCGUUUUGUGAAACUUGCAAAUAACUUCACUUCCAAUGUUGCAGCCCCAACGCAACACGAAAAUCCUCAGGCUGAAGCAUUUGCUCAGCCUACUGAAGAAAAUGUCAGCACCGCUAAUGAAAAUCAGGCUGCUGAAGAUAAUGUGAGUUCCAGGGCUGAUGACUGUAUUCCAGCCGCUGAAGAAAUUGUCAGGGCACCCACUAGUGGUGUGCCUAAAGAAACUGAAGAACUCAGUCAACUGCAUCAGUUGUGCCUAAAGAAAAUCAACCAGAUUCAUCAGCUGCUCCUGCACCAACUUCAACUCCAAUCCUUCCAUCUGCAUCGGAUGUGAAGAAGACCAAGGCUGUAGAGCGUGCUGCAGUGAAGAAAAGGAAAGCAUCAGCUGCUUCAGAUUCUUCAGCUCCGAAGAAAAUGAAGCCUAUGACAAGUUCAUUUGCACAUCCGAUUGAUGUUGUUCCCAUCUCAACCAGGCCAUCAAAGGACCUUGUUCCUUUUGAUGAAGAAUAUGUGAUCCCCAGCGGAUCUGAUGAAGAAACUCAUUCUGCUGCUUCGUCUGAACCAUUGGAUGAAGAAAUUGAAGUGGAUGCGAUCCCUUCAACACCUAUCAUCUCCUCGCCUAUGCCUCAGUUCACAGCUGAAAAGGCUGGCGUUGAAGAAAUGGAAGAUGAUGAUGUGGACAUUGGCUGCUCCACACCCGUAAUCAGUGAUGAAUUCUGGGAAAGUCAGCAUCCAAAUUCUCCAAUGUUCACUCCUCUACAACAAAUUUCUCAGUCCCUCACACAAACUGAUCACAUGGGCUCUAAAGAAACUCAUCCCACUGCAUCUGCCCAUGAGGAAAUUCCAGCCACUAGCACUGAAGAAACUGCUGCUGCUGAACAACCAACGACGCAGACUGCCACUGAGGAGGAACCAGAAAUUCCUCAGCCUAAAGAACCUGCGAUUGAGAUUCCUGAGGUCGUGAUGCAACUCACAGACACUCCUCUGCCGAAGCCAAAGGAUCCAUUCUCACGCAAGCAAAAGUUCAAGGCUGAUGAUUUCUUCGGCAAGCACAUAUUCUUCAAAGAUUACAACCCAUAUGACUCUGCUCGCAUUAGGAAGAGGCGUUUCUGGACUGCUAGUCAAGCCAAUUUCUAUUUCUUAGUGUUGUUCAACAAGGAGAAGAUUUUCUACCAUGAGCAUAUUCCUCACGUGGUGUAACGCCCCGUGACCGAUGUGCCAGGUGUCGUCCAGUUAUUCGCUGUUGUUGCUUUGUCAUUGCUUGCAUGUCAUGCAUUGCAUACCAUGUCAUCAUGUGCAUCUCAUUUGCAUACAUGUUCGUCUCAUGCAUUCGAGCAUUUUUCCCGUUGUCCGUUUUGCAUUCUGGCGCUCCAUUCUCCUCCUGUGGUCAUUUCUACUUUCCUUUCGUGUGUGGUGAUUAAACAUUUCCGGAUUGGACCGAGACUUGCCAUGCGGCCUUGGUUUACUACCGGUAGACUGCCUGUCAAGUUUUGUACCAUUUGGACUUCGUUUGAUGCUCCAAUGGUUAACCGAGGGACCGAAAAGGCCUCGUGUGUGUUGUAGCCCAACACCCCUCCAAAGUGGCUCAAAACCCACCUAAACCUCCUCCAUCAUCUCGGUCGUUCGAUCAUGAUCGCGUGGCCGAAAACCGCACCUCAUUUGGACUCUCCUAUCUCCCUCUACCUAUAAAUAUGUGCUCCCCUCCUGAAAUUCGCAGAUGAACCCUAGCUUUCUUCCAGCUCCAGCCGCCGGACGUGUCCAUCCUGGACCGGACAAUGUCCGCCACCGCCACCUCACUCCGACGAAUCGGAGCGCGCCACGUCACUCCCGCCGCCGCCGCGAGCCAACCAGCUCGCACCACCUCACCCGCGCCGCGCCCUCUCUCUCCGGCCCGCGCCCGCCGGCCCGCCGAGCCCGCCUCCGGCCCACGCGGGCCCAGAUCUCGCGCCGUCGCCNNNNNNNNNNNNNNNNNNNNNNNNNNNNNNNNNNNNNNNNNNNNNNNNNNNNNNNNNNNNNNNNNNNNNNNNNNNNNNNNNNNNNNNNNNNNNNNNNNNNNNNNNNNNNNNNNNNNNNNNNNNNNNNNNNNNNNNNNNNNNNNNNNNNNNNNNNNNNNNNNNNNNNNNNNNNNNNNNNNNNNNNNNNNNNNNNNNNNNNNNNNNNNNNNNNNNNNNNNNNNNNNNNNNNNNNNNNNNNNNNNNNNNNNNNNNNNNNNNNNNNNNNNNNNNNNNNNNNNNNNNNNNNNNNNNNNNNNNNNNNNNNNNNNNNNNNNNNNNNNNNNNNNNNNNNNNNNNNNNNNNNNNNNNNNNNNNNNNNNNNNNNNNNNNNNNNNNNNNNNNNNNNNNNNNNNNNNNNNNNNNCGACCUCACCCCGGCGCCCCUCCGCCGCCUUGCCCUCCUUCGGUUCCCUCGUUCCUCGCCGCCCUCUCCUUCCCCUUCGCCGGCGAACCGCAUCUCCGGCGCUAACUCCGGCCAGAUCCGCCACUGCAUCGAAAACCGUGCGAAACCCUAGAUCUGGAGGUAGUAAAUUUCUUCUAAGUCCUGAGAUUUCAGAUUCAUGUGCCCAUCUUCAUCGCAUCGUAACUUUGCAUCCAUAGCUCCGAUUGAUGCAUAUAACAUAUCAAAAUAUUCGUCUCAGAGAGUACAUCAUUUCAUUCCAUUGCAUCAUUUUCAUUUGAGCUCAUCUUGAUGCCCGAAAUGCUGUUAGAAGAGUGCUACUUGAGAUAAUUGUCAGAUCUGCUGCUCCAAUUAGUUAUUUGUCAUUUUUGCCAAGAUUAUUGUGUGCAUGAUAUGCCCAUGAGCUCUACAUAUGUUUUGUUAAGGGUUUUGCCAUCUUUCCAGAGGUGCAACCCAUGUAUUCUUGUGAUGUGUUUGGUGACUAGCACGAGAUUGCAAAGUGAGGCACUUGGUAAUGCUGAUUUCAGGGACUUAGCAUUUCCACUAAGUCCUUGAGCUGUUUAUCUCAUAUGGCCAUAUGUUCAUGUUGUUUCCUAGUGAUUCGUGCCUCUUUUGAGGAUGAUCAGUAAGGAUGUUUUGUUAAUAUUGUAGUGCUUUAUCCAUCCAUGUCUUUGUUUGCAAUUAUUGAGCACCCUAGCUUGAGUCAAUCGAGCUCUACUUUUGCUAUUUCGUGAAUCUGGACAGAUUGUCUACUUGUUAGCGAUUUUUCCAAGGGUGUUGUAGUUGAUCCGUGCAUGCUAUGUUAUUGUUCUUGCCAUGUCUGGCUUUCAUUUUGUGUAUUCUUGAUGGGUGUAUGCCUAGAUUGUCAUGACUUGCUCCAUAGUGAGUGCAUCGAACUUAAACAUGCCUACUUGAUAUCUGUUUUCAGCAUGUUCCAGUUUUCACUAAGUCUAAGAACUGAUUAUGUUUUUGUCAUGUUCACAUGCUUGCAAUUGUAUUUUCUGAUCCCUUUUGGCUCAAGGUCACUAAGGGACUUUUGUUAAGCUCUUUGAGUAGCUCCAUGCCAUGCUUUACUUUGCCAUGUUCAGAUCCUGUAGCAUAUAGUUUUCAUGCUCCGAAGUGUGCUACCUGAUCUGAAAUUUCAGACAAGUGUUAAUUUCACCAAGUCUGAAAUCUGUUUACCAUAUGCAUUUUUGUCAUGCUUGUUUGAACCUGUUAAUGGAAGAAUUGGCCGUAGCUCGGUGCUAGACUUUUGUUAAGAAUCAUGAAUGGAUUCCUGCCAUGUAUUUUGUUGCCAUGUUUGAAUGCUGUAGCAUGUUCAUCUUGUUGCAUUUAGUUGGCUACUUGCUGUAAAUCUUAGACCGGUGUCAUAUUUGAAUUGCUUGCCAUUUCCAAACCGUAACUCUGAUUCCGGUGAUCUUUAUAUCAUUUUCAAGCGAUUUCAUAUCAUCUUUCUAGUGGCACACUUGGUUUUCCAAGUUGAGUCCAGGUUCAUUCGUUUCUUGUCAAAUCAUGCAUAUGGAUCGCCAUACUGCAUCCCGCAUAUCAUACCAUGUUCAUGUGUUGGUCGUUUACUAUGUUGUGUGCUUCUUUUCCGGUGUUUGCUUCUUCUGGUUGGUUUCGGUAACGUCACGUUUGUGAGGACCCGUUCGUCUACGUUCGUUUAUCUUCUUCAUGGACUCAUUCUUCUUCCUUGCGGGAUUUCAGGCAAGAUGAUCAUACCCUCGAAAUCACUUCUAUCUUUGCUUGCUAGAUGCUCACUCUUUUGCUAUGCCUAUGCUGCGAUACCUAUCACUUGCUUAUCAUGCCACCCAUAUUGUUGAACCAAGCCUCUAACCCACUUUGUCCUAGCAAACCGUUGUUUGGCUAUGUUACCGCUUUGCUCAGCCCCUCUUAUAGCGUUGUUAGUUGCAGGUGAAGAUUGAAGUCUGUUCCUUGUUGGAACAUGGAGAUGUUGUUCCUUGUUGGAACAUGUUUACUUGUUGGGAUAUCACAAUAUAUCUUAUUUAAUUAAUGCAUCUAUAUACUUGGUAAAGGGUGGAAGGCUCGGCCUUAUGCCUGGUGUUUUGUUCCACUCUUGCCGCCCUAGUUUCCGUCAUAUCGGUGUUAUGUUCCCGGAUUUUGCGUUCCUUACGCGGUUGGGUAAUAAUGGGAACCCCUUGAAAGUUCGCCUUGAAUAAAACUCUUCCAGCAAUGCCCAACAUUGGUUUUACCAUUUUCCACCUAGCCUUUUCUUUUCCCUUGGGAGUCGCGCUCCUGAGGGUCAUCAUUAUUUUACCCCCCCGGGCCAGUGCUCCUCUGAGUGUUGGUCCAACUUGUCAGCCGCCGGUGGCCACCAAGGGCAACUCUGGGCUGGCCUACCGGAAGUUUGGACGAUCCGGUGUGCCCUGAGAAAGAGAUAUGUGCAGCUCCUAUCGGGAUUUGUCGGCACAUUCGGGCGGUGUUGCCGGUUUAGUUUUACCCUGUCGAAAUGUCUUGUGGAACCGGGAUACCGAGUCUGAUCGAAAUGUCUCGGGAGGAGGUCUAUUCCUUCGUUGACCGUGAGAGCUUGUGAUGGGCUAAGUUGGGACACCCCUGCAGGGAUUUGAACUUUCGAAAGCCGUGCCCGCGGUUAUGGGCAGAUGGAAAUUUGUUAAUGUCCGGUUGUAGAAAACCUGAAGUUGACCUUAAUUAAAAUAUAUCAACAGCGUGUGUAACCGUGAUGGUCUCUUUCUGGCGGAGUCCGGGAAGUGAACACGGUUGUUGGAGUUAUGCUUGACGUAGGUUGCUAUAGGAUCACUUCUUGAUCAUACUUUUAUCGACCGUGCUUUGCCUUCUCUUCUCGCUCUCAUUUGCGUAUGUUAGCCACCAUAUAUGCUAGUCGCUUGCUGCAGCUCCAUCUCAUACCUUUUACCUUACCCAUAAGUUUAAAUAGUCUUGAUCGCGAGGGUGCGAGAUUGCUGAGUCCCCGUGACUCACAGAUACUUCCAAAACCAGUUUGCAGGUGCCGAUGUUACUGAGCAGGUGACGCAACCAAGCUCAAGGAGGAGCUCGAUGAAGAUCUUGUCCUUUGUGUUGUUUCGUUCUAGUUGAUCAGUAGUGGAGCCCAGUUGGGGCCGAUCGGGGACCUUUGUCGCUUUUGGGGUUCUUCUUUUAUUUUGGUUCCGUAGUCGGACCUUGAUUGUAUCUGGAUGAUGUAAUGCUUUUAUCCAUGUAAUUGUGUGAAGUGGCGAUUGUAAGCCAACUAUGUAUCUCUUUCCCUUAUGUAUUACAUGGGUUGUGUGAAGAUUACCUCACUUGCGACAUUGCUUCCAAUGCGGUUAUGCCUCUAAGUCGUGCUUCGACACGUGGGAGAUAUAGCCGCAUCGAGGGCGUUACACGUGGAUAUGGAAUCUCUGCCGUGCUUCGCACCAGUCCUCAGUGUUCUUCACGACGCUGGGCUGCUCAACUUUUGCUCUGACAUAUGCGGUUGGAAUGAGGAACUGAUUCUUCAAUUCUAUGCAACGCUGCACAUCACCGGAGAUGCUGAAGAUGUGAAUUCAUGGGUGCUGGACUGGAUGUCUGAAAACACUCACCACACUGCACUAGCCUCUGAAUUGCUUCGUGCUCUACCACUCAGUCCUCCCCUUGAAGAAGCUCGCUGCAUCUACAGUGAACCUGAGCUCACACAUCAUUACAUGCAGAUGCUGAUGAAGCCUUUGAAACCAGGUCAGGCACCACGAACCAAAUUCCUCGUGAAGGAAUUGUUGUACGUGCCCAGAAAUGUCUAUCGUAUUCUUACGAGGACAAUCAGUCCUAUCAAAGGCCACGACUCAUCUGAUGAGGAAAUUGUUGGCAGCAUGAAGAAUCUGGUAUUCAACAUCGUUCAUGGCAUUCCUGUCAAUUAUCACGAUAUCUUCAUGAGGACUAUGGCCAAUGUUGCACUGUCUCCGUUUGAGCUGAAGCCUUAUGGACCUUGGAUCAUGAGAUUCCUCAGGACAAGGUCUUCACUCAACUACAAAGCUGAUUUCUAGAACCAUCUCAGCUACUUGCCCCCAAUUGAAGUCCUCAAGCAGACAUAUUCCUCAGUUGAUGAAAAGGGCAAGGCACCAGCUGUAAUUGAUGAAGGCAUUCAUCCAUUGGAUGGUCAGUUUCGCAAAGCUGCAUAUUAUUCCACCAAUGAUGACUCUGCCAAUGCACCUAAGUCCACUCCUUAAGCCACUGCUCCGCGCGUGAUGACUGACCAUGAACUUCUGCUUAGUCUUCACUAGAAGGUGGAUUGAAAUCACAAAUGGGUUAAGCGUCAAUUUGGUUCACUUCUUCACAACAUGACUGCCACACACAAUGCAGUGAAGAAAAACCACUACUACCUCCAUCAAGUCUUUGAUCGCACCUGGGCAAUCCUGUCACAUCUGUAUGGUGAAGAAGAUCUGAAGAACAUGGGUCUUAAUGAAGAUUUUGACUGGUCUGCACCUCCUCCGAAGAAAUUCAAGAAGGUCAAGGUUCCUUCUCUGGUGGCCAGCUCAUAUUUUUCAUCGCGCGACACUGAUGAACAUGAAGAUUUGGACGACACUGCGGCAGGCCCUACAUCAACAAACGACCCCAACAACGCUUACGCUCCUUCAUCAACAUGAUUAUCUUCAGGGGCGUUAGUCCUCAUUUUCGAUCCUUUUGGUCAUUCGAUGACAAAGGGGGAGAAAUAUGAGUUAGUCUUCAAGCGGGUCUACUAUAUGGGCAUUUAUUUUGCUAAGUUACAACUCUCGUUCUUCUGAAACUUUAUUGGAUCGAGUUGUAAUCUUAAACCCGAUGGUGCUCUGAUACUUUUGAUGCACUGUGCUCUGAUACUCUUGAUGCACUAUUCUACAUGCUUAUUCCUUGUUAAUAUUAUUGCACGCAUGCUAAAUUUCAUCAGGCACCAUAUUUCAUCAUGCAUUUCAAAUUCUUCAUAUUAUACGUUAAAUGCGUGUAUGAAUUACAAGAUAUAGGGGGAGAUCUCCAUGAUUCAACUCUUCAAGUAUGCAUUGCUUCAAAAACAAAUUCCUCACUAUGCACAUCUUCAAGGGGAGUUAUUCUAUAUCUUGCAAUCAAAUUCCUCAAUAUCAGUAUUUACACUUCAUAUGUUUAUCCCCGUUGAAAACUUAACAUAUAUUGUCAUCAGUCAGCAAAAAAUGGGAGAUUGUAAGUGCAUCUAGUGCCCCUUAGUGAUUUUGGUGUAUUGAAGACUUAUAGGUUAAGGGACUAAUGCGUGUGUGAGUGUACACAGGUCUAUAAGUCUAUGAGGAGUUUGAUAUUUACAAAAAAAGUCGACCCCUAAAAAUGAAUAUCUUCGACUGAAGAUUUUGGUAUUUCUGAAGACUUUCAUGAAGGCUUUGAAAGUGAAGAAAUUGGUGUGUCCGUGAAGACUUGAUAUUCAUGCAAGAAAUAUGAAGCUUGAAGACUUUCGUGUUCAUAGUUUUGUUUUUCUCUUUUUUGAGUCAUAGGAAACACCGUACUGUUAAAGGGGGUCGAGGAAAUACUAAGGAAAAAUUUCCAUAUGAUGCUCAACUCAAAUCCUACAUCUACCAAUCCCUUCGAGUGAAGCCAUUGGAAAUCUCAUACAGUUCAGUCAAUUUCUUCAGUGACAGAGACGAAGUUCUUCUGGUCUCUUAGGAAUUUGUCCUGACUGAGGAGUUAGGAAUUCACCAGUGCGGAUUGCCUACACAGUGAGGAACAUGAUAGCCCUAAGGAUUUUGCUACUCAAAAUUCCGACCGUUGUUGUGCUAUGCGCCAGCUGUCCCAAAAUAUCUAUCCACCUAACGGUCAUAUCAUUGAAGGGCAUUUAUGUCUUAUCAUGUCGGGCUGCUCCCUAGGCUAUAAAUAGCCGCCCCUACAACCACUAGCUGGUUGGCUGCUCCGAGAGAAACUGACACUUGUCAUUUGAGAGCAACCCAUCCUUCGAGGACUUUGAGCGAAAAUCAUCAAGUGAGGAAAAACCAAAAACCCAAAACCCAAACACCUACAAACCCCAAGUGAUUGAGCAUCACUGAAGAGAUUGAUCCUGAGUGGAUCCGACGCUUGUUACCUUUAAAGAUUGUGCUUCUUCUAGACGGUUAGGCGUCAUGGUCUAGAGCAUCCAAGAGGAAUUGUGGAUCGCUGAGUGACCAAGUUUGUGAAGGUUUUGAAGUCGUUUGAAGACUUACCACGAGUGAUUGGAUGAGGUCUAUGUGACCUUAGUUCAAGGAGAAUACGGUGAGAAUUGGGUGUCUUGGACCAAGUGUCCUUGACUGGGUGUCCGGGACUGUGUGUCCUCGAUUUUAAAUACUCAGCCGCUCCAACCAGACGUACAACUGAGACAGCAGUUGGAACUGGUCUACCUAAUCAUUGUCUUCACCGAGCUUACUGGUUCUAUUUCCUCAACUCUUUCAUUUCCUCAUAACUGUGCUGUAUUUUUGUUCAUAUCUGUGUUUGAAGACUUUGACUGAAGACUUUCUCAAUUUCCUCAGUUCAAUUUCUUCAGUCUGUUUGUCUUCAUCCUGAGUUAUCCUGUGAUUACGCUUCCUGUACUCUGUGCCUGUCUUCAUUUCAUCAUGAUGACUAUGCUUGUAUUCUGUUGUGUUUACUUUUGAGUACUUAUUUCGCUGCUAGUAGUUCUUCGCUAGAAAUUUUCUCACCAGCAAAUUCCUAAGUGAAGAAUUUCAUAAAAAUCGCCUAUUCACCCCCCUCUAGUCGAUAUAACGCACUUUCAGGUUAGAUUUAUCUUAAUUUUUCUUUUAUAGUUGUGGAUGCUUGCGAGAGGGGGUAAUCAUAAGCGAGAGGCUUAUCCAAGUAAAAACAACAUCCAAGCACCGGACCACUCACAUAUCAAAUUAUCAAAAUAACAAACACGAAUUAAACAAACAUGAUAAAAGUGACUAGUGUGUCCUCGGGGACGCUUUGCUUAUUAUAAGAGAUCUUUCUGCCCUGUCCUUUGCUACAAAAAGGAUCGAGCUACCUUGCUGCACCUUCGUUAUCGAUACUAUUACUUACUCGUUACAAAUUGUCCUGCUACAAACUAUAUGUUACCGAAAAUUUUAGUGCCCACAGAAAAUACCUUGCUAAAAACUGCUUGUCAUUUCCUCGUGCUUCUCAUUGGGUUCGACACUCUUACUUAUCGAUAUGAUUACAAUUGAUCCCUUAUAUUUGUGGGUUAUCAAUAGCCAAGAGAACACCUUCACUCGCAGGGGAUCCCUUGUUUUCCGGUGAAGGCGCCAGUUCAGGUCCGGGAUAGAACCGUGGAAGAGAGCUAGAUAACGGCACUUGGCGGAGUACUGACCGGAGUUAGUCCAUCUCCAUCUCAGCUCGUUGGGUUGGUCAGAGAGUUCUACGUGAUUGAUAUGCCGCCAUAGCCCCUUGUACGGGACCAAGGCAGUCAGGCCAAGGGCGUCAUGAAUGUCGCAAACUUAUACCCUCCCAAAGAGCCCAUAGCACACAGAACGAUCUUGUCGACAUCGCUUCGGGAUCUGGUAAAAGAUUUGGGGGGGGGGGCAUAUUCCGUAAUAUACUUCAUGUCGAGCCAUGGGUCUAUCCAGAAGCGGCAAGAGUUAUUGUUGCCCGACAAUCAGGAAGUGGAGGUGCGGAAGAUCUGCGAUGCCUACGAAUCAGAGGGGAGGUGAAGAUGCAGCUCUAGUAUUUCUAGCGACCAGUAACCAGGAAGUUCAUCUUCUCGAUCAAGGGACUCAAGCUCUGGUAUUUUCUCACAUACCAUGAUCUCUUGCAACAAACUGAGCGAUGAUGGACCUAUGAGAGCUCCUAUCGUGCGCCUAGCGCGGUAGCGAGCAAACGCACGAUAUGUUGUGGUGGGAGCUAGUUUUUUUUAAGGAACCGACAGAAACAUUGCCUUUUUAUUUAGGCGAAAUAGAGGGUUUAUAUACAGAGGUGCCAAAUUUUGAAGGGGAACCGGCUAAACCCACAACGGGGCCGACACUAGAUUACAACUCAACCAAUACCCGACCAUAGGACAUGUCCUUCUGCUUGAUCUUAAAUUUUUCAUGCAUUAAGAAAUGGUUUCACAUCUAAAAAAUAUUCAUGAAUUUAAUGUAUGUCUGCCAAUUUUUUAAAAGAUUUUUAUUCACGGAAAUAAAACCACUCAUGAAUUUUCAAAGGUGUUCAUGUUUCUAAAAAUGUUCAUACAUUAAGAAAUGCUUUCACAUAUAAUAUAACAUUAUUUUAUUUUGUUUAAAAUGUAAAAAAAAGGAAACACACGAAAAGAAAAGGAAAAACAGUCUUGGAAAAAAGGAACAUAAAUAAAAAAGAGGUUUGGAUCGCGCCAUUAUACUCAUCAACAAUCAUGGUCCAUGCACCAAAAACAAAAGGAGGUUUUGAUUGAUUCUCCUGUAUACCACGUCUCGCGUUGAAUUUCAGCCAAAGUUUAUAUCUGCAAUCAAAGCACUCCGUCUAAAUCCAGAAAGUUGGUUCGUAACUUAAAAUCUGGAAAGUUCUCACAAAAGGAAGGAAAGCCACAACCCCCCGCCAACAGCCCAAAAAUUCGAGCUGCCGCCCCACCUCUGACCCGGCCCGCCAAGCCACAGGUCCAAGCCUCCCGCCACGUCAGCGAUCCGCGGCAUCUCUCUCGCGGAUCCCCAUCUCGACCGUCCACCGCAUCCGCAUCGAACGGCAGGCACACGCCUCCUCCAACCUCUCUCCCCUUUAAAACGCCCCUCGCCCCUCCCCGCAAAUCACAACACAAACCACCAACCACCACCGCUACUCCAACCCCACAUUCGCUUGCCAGCAGCUCGAAGAGGAUCGUCGGCGACCAUGUCCGGGCGCGGCAAGGGAGGCAAGGGGCUCGGCAAGGGCGGCGCCAAGCGCCACCGGAAGGUGCUGCGCGACAACAUCCAGGGCAUCACCAAGCCGGCGAUCCGGAGGCUCGCUCGGAGGGGUGGCGUGAAGCGCAUCUCGGGGCUCAUCUACGAGGAAACCCGCGGCGUGCUGAAGAUCUUCCUCGAGAACGUCAUCCGCGACGCCGUCACCUACACCGAGCACGCCCGCCGCAAGACCGUCACCGCCAUGGACGUCGUCUACGCGCUCAAGCGCCAGGGCCGCACCCUCUACGGCUUCGGCGGCUAGGCGCUUCCUCGCCCCUCCCCUGCAGAUCCCAAAAGCUUGAUGAUACCGCGACUUGUGUGGUUUGCUACUUCCUCUGUAGUUCCAAGUGAAUCGUGAAACAAAGCUACUCGCAUCUGGAGUUGGAAAUCAAUAUACACCGUGUUUCUGAAUUUUGUCUCGCUGGUUGGCCUGCUAUAUCUCUGUUUGUGUGCGAUUGCUGUUUCUUCUGUAAUGCAAAAUUGUGUGCGCUCCGGAGUUAGUAGAUUUUACCAGUAGAUGCCGACAAACCGUACUUGGUUGUGCAACACUGGGCAGAAUUGGUGUUCGUGCAACGCUGUAAUUGAGAUGGAUUUUGUCUGCAUUUCAUACAUCCAGUCUUAGAUUGUG